rnacentral:rRNA from 1 species
GAUGAACGCUGGCGGCGUGCCUAAUACAUGCAAGUCGAGCGAACGGACGAGAAGCUUGCUUCUCUGAUGUUAGCGGCGGACGGGUGAGUAACACGUGGAUAACCUACCUAUAAGACUGGGAUAACUUCGGGAAACCGGAGCUAAUACCGGAUGAUAUUUUGAACCGCAUGGUUCAAAAGUGAAAGACGGUCUUGCUGUCACUUAUAGAUGGAUCCGCGCUGCAUUAGCUGGUUGGUAAGGUAACGGCUUACCAAGGCAACGAUGCGUAGCCGACCUGAGAGGGUGAUCGGCCACACUGGAACUGAGACACGGUCCAGACUCCUACGGGAGGCAGCAGUAGGGAAUCUUCCGCAAUGGGCGAAAGCCUGACGGAGCAACGCCGCGUGAGUGAUGAAGGUCUUCGGAUCGCAAAACUCUGUUAUUAGGGAAGAACAAAUGUGUAAGUAACUAUGCACGUCUUGACGGUACCUAAUCAGAAAGCCACGGCUAACUACGUG